AUGCAGCAAAAGGCCCUUGGAGGUCUCAAGGUGCCUGUGGCGACAGCCCAGUGUUCCUGACCCUCAGGGGAAGACCGGUCUCAGCUGCGAUGCAGAGGGGCACAGUGGCACUGGGCCUUGGCUGGACACAUCUUAACUGUGGCUUCCAGCCCACAGAGCACUUGCAACCAGCCAGGCACUGAGCUGACAGACAGCAUUAUGAACGCCAGCUCACUGAAUCUGCCCUAUCAGCCCUCCAAGACUCAGGCCUGUGUGCCUCUGGUGACAGGACCCCACACCCAGCCCCACCAGGCCCACUCACAGAUGACUAUGAGGAUCAUACAGAAGAGCUGAAUGCCUGAGCCCAG